GUGGGGAAUAUUGGACAAUGGGCGAAAGCCUGAUCCAGCCAUGCCGCGUGUGUGAAGAAGGUCUUCGGAUUGUAAAGCACUUUAAGUUGGGAGGAAGGGCAGUAAGUUAAUACCUUGCUGUUUUGACGUUACCGACAGAAUAAGCACCGGCUAACUUCGUGCCAGCAGCCGCGGUAAUACGAAGGGUGCAAGCGUUAAUCGGAAUUACUGGGAGUAAAGCGCGCGUAGGUGGUUUUGUAAGUUGGAGGUGAAAUCCCCGGGCUCAACCUGGGAGCUGCCUCCAAAACUGCAUGACUAGAGUACGGUAGAGGGUAGUGGAAUUUCCUGUGUAGCGGUGAAAUGCGUAGAUAUAGGAAGGAACACCAGUGGCGAAGGCGACUACCUGGACUGAUACUGACACUGAGGUGCGAAAGCGUGGGGAGCAAACAGGAUUAGAUACCCGGGUAGUCC
rnacentral:rRNA from 1 species